GCUCCUCCACCCCUCACCACCACAAGCCGCCGCCACCCCUGAGCAUCCACCGCCGCCACCGCCCCCAAGCAUCCACCACCACCACCGCCGCCGCCCCCAACCAACCAUCCACUGCCCACCUCCUCCUCCUCCUCCCAACCAUCCACCACCCUCCACUUGACCGCAAGCCACUGCUGACCACUGCCGUCGUCGCCUAGAGCUACAUCUCGGAAUCGUGCGUUUCCUCCCCGAGCACGGGUCCACCUCCUCCACAAGCCCUCGAAGCAGAAGAUCACCGCUUUGGCCCUCCUCUCCAGCGGGAACCUCUGGCUGCUGAGCAUCAACAUCGCUAGCUGUUGUACUGGUUUUGAACAAUUUCUGCGCCUCCUAAUACUGCUUACCUGAAGGUAUAUAGUUGUAUUAGAGUUCUUACAUCAUGGACAUGUUCCCAAUAGCUAUGCAAAAAUAGUUUCUACUAUUGCUUCCCUCUUUGUCUUGUUUGUUCUGAAUGUGCAGCUAUACACAAUGUGUAGAAGUGUAAUAAUAUUGAAGUAGUAGCACUGAACUAUUCUGUUAGUUAGAGCAAAGCACCAAUUUUUAAUUGCUUUGAUCUAAUAACAUAAAAAACAUGAGCUUUGGAGUAGCAGCACUGAACUAUACUGUCAGUAGCAGCACUGAACUAUUUUGUUAGUUAGAACAAAGCAUCUAUUGUCUGUCAGUUUGAAGGUUAUUUACUUUGAUCUAAUAACAGCAAAAACCUGACUAAGUUGUUUAGUUGAGCUUUGGAGUUCAUUUUAAGUCUUUGUUUGUUGAGUUGAUGCCCCAAGGUAGCACCAUCUUUGUUUGUGUUUUGCGAAAUACGAGAUGUGGAUAGACAAUGUGCUAUGCUUUUAUGAUAUAGACUUAUGGCAAAGAUGUGGACAAAGCACAUGCUAUGCAAUAUUUCACUUAAAUUAAUAUCUCUAUGUUACUAACAGCUUGCUCUUGUUUACAAAUGCAGUGUAUAUUUGCGUGGUGUAUUUCCUAUAGUAUUCCAACUUAUAUUUUAUUAGGUGACUCUAGCUUAACCCUUAUUAAUUUUACAAGGUGAUAUUUGUAAUUUGUUUGGGCUUAGUGUCACCUAUUGUCGGCCUCCUCUACAUCCUCUCCAAGUGCCACCUCCUCUACUUCUUUGCCCCAACUGAGAGAAUUUGACAUGUGAGAUUACUUUCCACACUUCUGUCCCUUUUUUCUUCAGAGCAGUAACUAGAAUGAGUCCAGUUUGUUUAUCUUGGCCCAACUGGUACUAUCUUUGCCAUCCUAUAGCCCAAUUUUUUUAUGUCGAAGAGAUCUUCCAUUUACCAAUGACUAUUAUGGUUGAUUUCUUAAAAGUCUUUGCUUCAUAGUAUGCAACUGAAAGUGGAUUCUAAGUUCAUGGAAAAAGCAGCAGUGCGACCACAAGCAAACUAAGGAGGUCAUAGUCUUGGUAGUUAAGUCUUGGCUAUAGUAUUUUUCUUUCGGAUACAUGCUUGCUGCUAUUUCAGAACAUUGAAACUUCAUUUAGCAUUUGGUUUCUUAUAAGCUUCAUGCAAAUGAAACUAUAGUGAACAUAUGAACUGAGCUUUUGCUUGGCAUGUGUAUGCAUGUCAUGAAUGUGCUAAGUCUUUUUGUGCAUACAAUUAGUGGAAGCUUUUACAUGUCCAGUGUAUGCAUGUUCUGGAACUAAGCUUUUGCAUGUCCUAUGUAGAAGGCAUGGUUUUUGAGUCGCUGAUUAGUCGUUGUAUAGUCGCCGACUAAUCGCCAAGUCAUUUUCUAGAAAUUAGGGCGACUCGCGACUAUACAACGACUUAUGGCGACUAUACAGCGAAUUUCGUCGACUAAUCGCCGAGCCGCAGGGCUCGCGGCGACUUGACUAUUCACGACUCAAAAAGCAUGGUAUUCGGAAGCUUAGUCUUUAACCCAAUACUUUCUUUCCUUGAUGCAAGUAAAACGAUGUCACAUUCUUGGUUAUAUCUAUGGUCCUCCAUCAUCUUUCAUAAAUCUAGUUAUGUUAUGCCGGACUUGCAUUUUUUGGGAGAAAUGUACCUUUUCAUGUAUAAAAAAUGGUUGACUCGCAUUACACUGUUUAGUAUUUUGUAUGCAAACAUGAAUCUUACUACAGAUACACACUGGAAGUCUAAAAUCAUGCUAGUAGAAAUAUGUGUUUUGUUAGCUACGCAUCUAUUUUGUUGAAUGCAUCUUGUACAACUCAAUUUGUGAUUAAAUGGUUGUUCUGCAUAUAUGGUUGCCAACCGAUUGACCAUAUAAGACUGGAAACUGUACGACCUUUUGGCAUUUAACUUGUUCUAUUUUUGUUACGUUAAUAAUUUAUUUUUGCAAAAAGUGCUAGUCCAGUGGAUAAGAACAUCGGCACAUGUGAUUGGGAGCCCAAAAGACUAAUAAGAAUGUACUCCCUCUGUAAAGAACUAUAACACUCUUAUAUUUCUUUACAGAGGGAUUAGUAAACUACUUCAACGUAACACUAGACAUUUUAUUUCAUAUAUUCUGUCAUAUUCGGCUGGAAAAACGUUUGAACUUUGCUGUUUUUCCAUGCGAUGGAAUUAUUUCAUAUGUUUUACUACAGGCUUUGUGUGUUUAUACGAAAACACAAGAUCCUAUGAUGUCAAAAAUUCAUACAAGUUGUGGAUGUCACUUCUUUUUGUCACUUGCUAUUUUGUCUUAUGUUCAGUUUUCUAGACAACAUUCUAUAGAAUUUUCACAUACAUGAAACUAAAAUUAAUAUCAGAGGUAAUGAGAUGAUGUAAUUGUGGUCAACUAGAUUUGCUUAAUUUGUGUGUUAAAGCCUGAAACUGCUGACAUUUUAUAGUUUCCUAUUAAAUUGAAUAUUCACUUGAUGCCUUUAAGGAAGUUGAUGAGAAAUUCUCUUGAUGAUGUAGACGUCUUUGUUAUAAAAUAAGUGGGAAUGGUGCACUCAUUAUCUUCUUUGAGUGUUGUAAAUCAAUGUAUGCAAAUCAUGUUUUAUAAUACAUGUACUUUCAAUUGUUCUCUUCAUGUUCAGGUUGGAGAUGUCCCCGAAGACUGGUUAAGAUACCUUGCUGUAACCAUAUGCUCCGAGCUCAAGUAGAAGACUUACAAGCUUUACUCUUUGUGCUACUUCCAUUCUGUACAACUUGGACGUCUUGAAACUGCAUUUGCUAAAUUAUGAUGCAAUUCUUUAUGUGUAAUCUAUGAAUAGCAUACAUUGUAACGAUUUAAAUGCUUGACUAUGAGAAAUUCUAAUAUAAAUGUGAAGUACACAUGCAAUUUCCUUCUACCUUAUUUGAAU
rnacentral:lncRNA from 1 species